UACGUAGGGUGCAAGCAUUAAUCGGAUUUAUUGGGCGUAAAGGACGCGUAGGCGGAUAAGCCAGUCAGUUGUGAAAUCCCUCGGCUCAACCGGGGAACGGCAAUUGAAACUACUUGUCUUGAGGGUAGAUGGAGAGAACGGAAUUCCACGUGUAGCGGUGAAAUGCGUAGAUAUGUGGAAGAACACCGGUGGCGAAGGCGGUUCUCUAAUUUAUACCUGACGCUGAGGCGUGAAAGCAAGGGGAGCAAACAGG
rnacentral:misc_RNA from 1 species